rnacentral:sRNA from 1 species
AAAUGCAACGAUUUUGAUGCCCAACAAAGGCCAAUCGCCCGAUCGCCC